rnacentral:lncRNA from 1 species
UGAAAGAUUGAUUUGGUGAAUGUUGAUUAUUUUGUUAAUUGUUGAACACGAUAGUAUCAUGUUUAGGCCAAAAUUGAUAGGCAAAUUCUAAGUUUUGGAGUAGGCAACUUGUAGGAUUCUAAUCAUCGAAUGUGUAAAUGUUUGUGUUGAGUGAUUUUCUCCAUUUUAAUCACAUUUUAUUGAAUGUAUUCAUUUAGCCGGGGAAUGCCCCAAGGCUCAUUGUAUUUAUUCAUCGAG